CGGCCAGCCCUCUACCUGGCCUGGGUCGUAACAACGGAGGGAGGACAGGGCUGCCCGUGCAAGCGGGGCCCCAGGGUCAGAGGAACCGGCCCUUCCUCUUCGGCGGCGGUUUCCGCUCUGCUCCGCCCCGCUCCCGCCCCGCGAGUGCGGAGACUCCGCCUCCCUCGCCCCUCCCCCCACGGGCCCGCGGGCGGAGUUCGCGACCUCGCGUUGUAAUCUGGGCCGCCACCGCGCAGGCGCAGGCCCGUGCCAGAUGGCGGCGGGCAGCCAACGCAGAGGCGUCCGAGGGCGUUGUGUUUUCCUCCCCUGCUACCAACAGUAGGAAGCGUUCUCAUUCAGAGGCGGCUUUCGUUUCACAGUGAGCAUUCAGGUUUAGAGUCGCCGUUGUGCACUGACAGAAGGUAUUGUAGCAUAUUACAGUUGACGAGAACGUCUCAUCGUUCAGUUACCCGAAAAAUAGUAAUGUGAUGGCAAAAGUAAAUCACCUCCCCGUCGGGGAAUUGAACCCCGGUCUCCCGCGUGACAGGCGGGGAUACUAACCACUAUACUAACGAGGAGCUGCUGCUUGCUCCUCCCCCAGGUGUCCCUUCAGGGCUGCACCUGCCACCUGCAAACGUAAACAUCCCAAUUCCAGGCCCUCGCUGGUGCCAUGGAGGCUUCCAGUCCGCUUCCAGUUUCAGGGCUGAAUCGUGCGGCGCUCACCUCCCGGUAGUCGCCUGAGGGCUUCGUGUCACUUGGGGGCGGCACGGCUUCCCCCUCACAGAGCUGUGUUUCUCCGUGUGAGGACCGGCCGUCCACGGCUGAGGCCCGGGCAGCCGCUUCCCGCGCUUGCCGCCGCGCGCCCUGGCCCCGAGGCCUCCCGCGGACGUUUCCGGCUCGGGUGGCCCGGAGCCGGCCGCGGUCUCGGCAGCAGAACCGGCGGGAGUGCGGGAAUGGAUGAGUGACACUCGUCCUAAGUCAGCACCAUCGGUUAAACACAGGGUUGGGAAAGCACAGUUAGAGGGGAAUUUGUCGCCAUCCUAAGCCUGUUUCAUAGACAAGAUCCAGGAGGCCUCCCGUGUGAACUUUUGUCGGUGUCUCUAGUGCGUGUAUGUAGAGUCACAGAUGGCUUCCUCAUUUCCUUUAUAAAGAAAAUACAGCCCUGACCCAGCAGUUUUGAAAUUGAGUUCACCUGGUCCAUGUGGUCGCCAGGUCUUUUGCUUUUUAAAACUGAGGUAAGAAUACUUCACAUAAGUUCUACUCUCAUAACAACUUUUUAAGUGUAAAUGCAUUAUUGUUGACUGCAGGUCUUACAUUGGCUGCUUGGUACUUUUGCUUCACAGUAAUAGCGAGGUUAUAUAGUCACUGAGCAGAUGGCUUGCCUGGAACUCAAGUGCAGAGGAUAGCCUUCCAAAGCUAGUAGCACCACAAAAGCACGGUCCCAGGCACAAUCUAUAAAAGCUUUUCUUGAGUUGGGGAGCUCCCCAUCAGUCUCUGACCUCAAGUCAUGUGCCAGACCUCUUGUGGGGUGUUCCUAUAUCUGUCAUUUCUGUUGCUAGGGCAGAUGAUCUGCUCUGGGGUAUCCCUGCUGUUUGUUUAUGGUGAGAGUUUGUUCUAAUUAGUGGCAACAUUCUUUCUCUUUAGCCAGUGCCUUUGCUGAUAUUAUCAGUAUUAGCCCUUCAUGUUACAACUAAAGUUGUAUUUCUGGCCACCCCAGAUUGCUUCUGAUCUGGAACAAAUAGGCCUGUUGCUUCAGCUCCACUAACUGCUUUACGUUUCUGUUCCAGUUCUGGGCAGUUUGUCAUUUCAUUUUUGAGCAUGAUUGUAAGUUUAAUUUUUUCUUUUGUAUUUUUUAAAAAAGUUAUUUAUAUUUAUUUGCAUGGUGGGGGAGGGGAGAGAUCUUCCAUUCACUGGUUCACUCCUCAAAUACCCAGAAGAGCUAGGGCUGGGCCCGGUUGGGAACUCAAUUCAGGUCUCCAAAUUCAGUGACAGAGAUCCAAGUACUUGAACUAUUAGCUGUUGCCUUGCAGGAUGUGCAUUAGCAGGAUGCUAGACCGGAAGCAGAGUCGAGUCUCAAACCCAGGCACUCACACCCAGACUCUGCAGGAAUGUGCAUGUCUCACAUGGCAUCUUAAUUGUGGUGCCAAUAAAUGCCCCUAUAUUUUAUCUAUUAUGCACAAGAGAAGAGUUGAGGACUUCAAAAUAUGUAUUUAGAAUGCCAGUUGGUGAGAAGUUUCUCAAAAGAUGUGGUCAAGAUGACCAAGACAUAUAUCAAAAUGAUAAAUCAAAAUUGGGAGAGUUGUAAUAUUAUCAAGUUGGUGGAGAACACCAAAAUUUAUUUUAAAAAUAUUACUAAUUGACUAAUUGUAAAGAGAGCUACAAAAUAGAAAAGAUGUUAAAAAGCAAUUCUUUUAAGUAGAUAUAUUUUAAAAUAAUUUUCAGGGCCUGCACUAUGGCCUACUAGGUUAAUUCGCUGCCUGUAGUGCUGAAAUCCCACAUGGGCACCAGUUCAAAUUUCGGCAACUCCACUUCUGAUCCAGCUCCCUGCUACUGAGCCUGGAAAAGCGGCAGAGGAUAGCCCAUGUGCUUGUUUUCCUGAACCCUGGGAGAGACCUAGAGGAAGCUCCUGGCUCCUGGCUUUGGCCUGGCUCAACCCUGGCCAUUGCAGCCACUUUGGGAGUGAACCAGUGGAUGGAAGGUCUCUCUCUCUGUCUCUGCCUUUAAAAAAAAAGUCCUUAAAAAUACAGUGCUUGAGGCAGGCAUUCAGACAAAAAGUGUUUUUUUUUUUUUUGUCAUUCUGUUCGUUUUACUCUUUACUUAGUGUAGGGUUAAAUUUGUGAGUAUAAAAUAAACUGAAAAUAAGUCUUUGUAAAAAUAGAGUGGAAAUAAAAGAGGGAGGAGGAAGAAGGAAUAUGGGUGGGAGGGAGGUUAGGAUGGGAAGUAUCACCAUAUUUCUAAAUCUGUAUAUAUGAAAUACAUGAAACUUAUAUACCUUAAAUAAAUUUGUGUACCUAAAAAAUAAAAUAAAUGAAAAAAAAUUUUGCAGGGCAGAAAUGAAAGACUAUUGGAAAAAUUAUCAAUCAUUGUUGAAACUGGAUAAUUAGUACCUGGGGGUUCAUUCUACUAUUGUCUACUUUUAUGUGCACUUAAUUUCCAUAAUUAAAAGGUAAAAAUUUAGAAGAAAAUAUUAUGCUUGAUUCUAUGCUAUUACAUUUGGAAAUGUUGCUAAUGAAGUUGAUAAUUUUCUGAGAAACUUGUGACUAAAUCUGACUUAAGAAAUGGACAACAUGAAUAGAACAACACUCCUAGAAGAAAUUAUAAAGGAAUUACCCCCAAAAAUGGCUCCAAUAGCUGACUGCUUUAAUUGUGUCUCCAAUAAACGUUUGAGCCUUAUGGUAUGUAUAUUAUGUAGAAAUAAAUGAGAUCAAAUUAAUUCUACAAAAUCAGCACUUUAAAAAAUCUUAAGUGAAUUAAUUUUUCAAAGAUUAUUUAUUUAUUUGAAAAGCAGUGUUACAGAGUGUCGCUCCCCGUCUUCGUGGAGGAACGACACAGGACCCUGCGCUGUUCUUUCGUCUGCUUGGUCCUCCCCGGGUUUGCUGCUGGUUCUUCCCGGGUUGGCUACUGUCCCUUCCACCUCCAUGGAAGGGCGGUUCCCCCUGGCCACUUUCCCCACUUCCGCAGGGGAGCAGCACACCGCCGGCCAGCUCUCUCGGGGACUGCACAGGUGUUCCCCUUAGAUGUUCCUGGUGCAUGUUGUCUCUCUCCUCCUUUAUAGUCCUCUUCCACCAAUCCCAACUCUGCUACCCACACGCCGAGUACGCUGCUCUCCUCCAAUCAGGAGCAGGUCCUACAGUUUAUUGGUUGAACUGGAGGCAGCUGUGUAGAAGCUGUUUCCCUUCUCAGCGCCAUAUUGUGGGAAAGCAGAUGCAUAGAAUAAGUCUUAAUUCCAGUAACUUAGUCCAGUCCGAGUUGCUCCCCACACAGAGAGGCAGAAGCAGAGAGAGAGAGAGAAAGGUCUUUCAUCUGCUGGUUCACUCUCCAAAUGACUACAGUGGCUGGAGCUGUGCCAAUCUGAAGCCAGCAGCCAGGAACUUCUGGUCUUCCACAUGGGUUCAGGGGCCCAAGGACUUGGGCUAUUUUCCACUGCUUUCCCUGGCCAUAGCAGAGAGCUGUAUUGGAAGCAGAGCAGCUGGGAUCCGAAAUAGCAUCUACAUGGGAUACCAGCACUGCAGGCAGUGGCUUUACCCACUUUGCCAUAGUGCCAGCCCCAACCUUUUUUUUUUUACUUUUUAAAAAAAGUUUUAUUUGUUAUAUAAGUUUCAUGUAUUUUGUAUUUACUGAUUUAGGAACAUACUGAUAUUUCCCACCCCACCCUCCUUCCCACCCAUGCUCCAAUCUUGUUCCUCCUCCUCCCAUUCUCCCAUUCUCCCACUCUUAGUUUUUACAAAGACCUACUUUCAGUUUACUUAAUGAUCAUAAAGUUAACCCUACACUAAGUAAGAGUUCAACAAAUAGUAUGAAGGAAAAAAAAUCAUUGUUCCUCAACAGAAGAGACAAGGAUUGUAAACAAUUAUCAAAUCUCAAAGUGUCCAUUUCACUCUAAUUCAUUACAUUUUAGGUACUCUAUUAAUUACCUUGGAUCAGAGCAAAUAUGAUAUCUGUCUUUUGGGGACUGACUUAUUUCACAAAAUGUAAUGGUUUCUAGUUGUAUCCAUUUUUUUUUUUUGCAAGAGACAAGACUUCACUUUUUAUAGCUUAGUAGUAUUCCAUAGUGUAUAUUUACAAUAAUUUUUUUAUCCAGUCAAUAGUUGAUGGACAUCUGGGUUGAUUCCAUAUCUUAGCUAUUGUGAAUUGAUCUGCAGAGAGCAUGGGGGUACACAUAACUCUUUCAUAUGUUGUGUUCUUUUGGUUUGGGGAAAUUCCCAGGAAUGGGAUGGCUGGAUAAUAUGGUAGGUCUAUAUUCGGCUUUCUGAAGUAUCUCCAUACUGUCUUCCACAGUGGCUACACCAGUUUACAUUCCCACCCACAGUGGAUUAGGGUACUUUUUCCCCACAUCCUUGCCAACAUUUGUUGUUUGUUGAUUUCUGUAUAACAACCAUUUUAACUGGAGUGAGGUGAAACCUCAUUGUGGUAUUUUUAUUUUAUUUUAUUUUAUUUUAUUUUAUUUUAUUUUUUUGACAGGCAGAGUGGACAGUGUGAGAGAGAGAGAGAGAAAGGUCUUCCUUUUACCAUUGGUUCACCCUCCAAUGGCCGCUGUGGCCGGCGCACCACGCUGAUCGGAAGGCAGGAGCCAGGUGCUUAUCCUGGUCUCCCAUGUGGGUGCAGGGCCCAAGGACUUGGGCCAUCCUCCACUGCACUCCUGGGCCACAGCAGAGAGCUGGACUGGAAGAGGGGCAACUGGAACAGAAUCUGGCACCCCAACUGGGACUAGAACCCGGGGUGCUGGUGCCGCAGGUGGAGGAUUAGCCUAUUAAGCCGCGGCACUGUCCACAUUGUGGUUUUGAUUUGCAUUUCCCUGACAGCUAGUGAUCCUGACCAUUUUUUCAAAUGUCUGUUGGCCAUUUGAAUUUCCUCUCUUGAAAAAUGCCUGUUCAAUCCCUUGCCCAUUUCUUAACUGGAUUUUUUGUUUUGUUGUUGUUGAAUUUCUUGAGCUCUUUAUAGAUUCUAGAUAUUAACCCUUUAUCAGUUGCAUAGUUUGCCUAAAAUAUUUUCUCCUGUUCUGUCAGUAAUCUCUUCACUUUGUGGAAUGUUCUUUUGCAAUGCAAAAGCUUCUUAACUUGAUGUAAUCCCAUUUGUCAAUUUUUGCUUGGAUUGCCUGUGCUUUUGGUUUUUUUUGUGAGAAGUCUUUGCCUGUGUCAGUGUCUUGCAGAGCUUUCCCAAUGUUCUCUAAAAAUUUGACGGUAUCAGAUUGUAGAUUUAGGUCUUUGAUCGAUUUUGAAUGGACUUUUGAAUCAAUACAAACUUAACACUAUUAUCUGGUGUAGAUCAAAUUUAUGUACAGACAUACAUGAGAAAUUAAGAUAUUAAAUUCAGUUUUAUUCAGUUGAUGAAUCUCUACCUUUUUUUAAAAGAUCUAUUUUUUAUUUAUUUGAAAGGCAGAAUUAGAGAGAGAGAGAGAGAGAGAGAGAGAGAGAGGUCUUCCAUCUGCUGGUUUAUCCUCCAAAUGUCCACAACAGCUGGGAAUGGGCCAGAAUAAAGCCAGGAGCCAGGAGCUUCAUCCUGGUAUCCCACAUGGGUUUCAAAGGCACAAGUGCUUGGGUCAUUUUCUACUGUCGCUCCCUUGCCCGCAAAGGAACGACACUGCUUCCAGCUGAUCGGUCUUCAGUAGACUUUUAUUUAAACAGGAUAGAAAGAGAAACCCUUGAGCAAGGGGAGCUCCGAAAGAAAGGGGAAGCUCCCGUACCAUAUCACAAACAGCUUAUAUAGUAUAGCAUUAUUGAAGCAUGUAAGCAAGCUUAGUCCAUGCUACAGUCCAUGCGGCGGUGCUCCAAUCGGGUGCCUGAUGACGCACAGUCCAUGAGCUCCUUGUCCAACCAUAAAGGUGAUCACGCGCCUUCAUCCAAUCAAGCUCCUGGUCACGUAGCAGGCGACUCGGGUGCUAACAACAAGCUUCCACCUGGUGUUUUCUCAGCCUUGGUCAGUGGGAAAAGAAGCACGGGAAGCCCCAAGGCCAUAGUUGUUUUGACUCUAGGCUGGGGUUAUGAAAUGGUCCCGAUAUCACAGCUCAACAGAAACCACAAACAUCCACACAGCAGUAACUAAUGCCAGUGGUCAGCAAGCCAAGCCUUAGCAUGUGGGCCCAUGGCCAGCCAUGGGUCCCCACAUUCUACUUUGUCCCAUACAUUAGCAGAGAGCUGGUUCAGAAGUGGAGUAACUGGGAUUCAAAGUGUAACCCAUAUGAGAUGCUGGCACUGCAGGUGGCGGCUUAACCUGCUAUGCCACAAUGCUGGGCCUGAUCAAUCUCUACUUAAAAAGAAUUCAUCAUUUCUCCUGUAAAACGCAUUAACUAAUGUGCACAAAAGGAUAAAUAUUCACAGAUGAUUUGCUCCAGUGUAUCCUGGAGUGUCUGUUUUUGUAAAAGUUUUCCAAACCAGUUUUUAUUCAUUUUACAUAUUACUGCAUUUAUGUAUUCUAAGUGAAUAUUUAUAGAAACUUGUGAAAUGUGUGUGUGGAAAAAGAAUUGUUCCUAUGAAACUAAAUUGAAGGUAUUGGAAUAACUCAAUGCACUAAACAAUUAGAUGAGGAUAAAAAAAGUAAACUUUGGGAAAAAGUCACAAAAAUAUAGAAGAAUUUUGCCCUUAUAUUGCUUUAUGAUCAAGUUAAAAUGAUCUUUAAAGAACGUAAAUGGGAAGGGCUAGCACUUUGGCAUAGCGGGUAAAGCCACUGCCUACAGUGCCGGCAUCCCAUAUGGGUGCUGGUUUCAGUCCCAGCUGCUCCACUUCCCAUCCAGCUUUUUGCUAAGAUCUGGGCAAGCCAUAGAAGAUGCCCAGAUCCUUGGGCUCCUGCAUCCAUGUGAGAGACUUGGAAGAAGCUCCUGGCUCCUGGCUUUGGAUUGGACCAGCUCCAGCUAUUGCAGUCAUUUGGGGAGUGAACCAGUGGAUGGAAGACUUCUCUCUCUUUCUGACUCUCUGUACCUCUUUCUUUCUCCCUUCCUCCCUUCCUCUCUCUCUUUCUCUCUCUUUCUCUCAAUAUUUAUUUAUUUAUUUGAAAGGCAGAGUUACACAAAGAGAGAAGGAGAGGCAGAGAGAGAGAGGUCUUCCAUCUUCUGGCUCACUCUCCAAUUGGCCUCAAUGUCUGGAACUGUGCCAGUCCGAAGCCAGGAGCCAGGAGCUUCUUCUGGGUCUCCCACAUGGGUACAGGGGGCCCAAGGACUUGGGUCAUCUUCUACUGCUUUCCCAGGCCAUAGCAGAGAGCUUGAUCAGAACUUGAAACCGGCGCCCAUAUGGGAUGCUGGCAUUGCAGGUGGUGAUUUUACCCACCUCGCCACAGGGCCUGCCCCACCUCUGCCUUUCAAAUAAAUAAAUAAAUAAAUAAAGUUUAAAAAAGAAAGUAAAUGAGAAAUAGCAAUACAUUAGGGGUUUGAUUUAAGUAAGACGACAGAUGAUAUAGAAUUCUAAUAUGUAAACUGAUACUGAAAGACAAGACUUUUUCCUAUAAAUUAGUUAAAAGACUUAACUAGUUAGUUAAGGUAACACUAAUUGUAUUAUUGAGCAUGCUAUAUAUGGACACCUUCGAAAUCUCUGUCUUACCUGUGGGGAGCAACUGAGACUAGGCUAAGUUACUGGAAUUAAGAUCUAUUCUAUGCAUCUGCUCUCCCACGAUAUAGCGCUGGGGAGGAGGAAACUUCUACGCAGCUGCCUCUCACCAGCUUGACAAACUGCGGGAGCUGAUCCUGCUCCUGAUUGGAGGAGAGCAGCGUGCUCAGCGUGUGGGUAGCAGAGCACGGAUUGGUGGAGAGGACUAUAUAGGAGGAGAGAGACGGCAUGGUGGUGUGGGUUGGUUGGAGAGUGUGUUGGAGAGUUCGCGGGGAAGUUCGUUGCUUCGUUCUUUCUCAUUUCUCUCUACUCAUUCUUGCUUUGGGAGUUCGCUGUUUGCUUAUUCUUACUUUACUAUAGAAAAGACUUGUAAAAAAGGGGAACAACGAGCGUCCGGUCCGGUGCGGCUCCUCCGCGUGUGGAGGAGCAGCAAAUGGUGCCGUGACUUGGAUAGGAAACCUAGGAGGGAAGAAGCGGGAAGAAGCGGGAAAAUACCGGAGAGAGAGACUAGCAAAGAGCCUAGGGAAAGCCGGAUGGAAAAGGUGCCGAAAGAAGCUAUCGAAAGCCUAGGUAUAGACUUGGAUACGGACUGUGGGGAGAGGCCAGGAGAAAUGAGAGGGGAAUAUUGUUGGAAGAAAAGUUAGGGAAACAUACUGGGUAGAGAGAAAUAUGUUAGGGAGGAUGAAGCUACAGGGGCCGGCUGAGGCGGAGACGUAAGCUAGCUUGGGAUUCGUCAAGUCAGCCCAGGGAGCAAAAGGCGAAAAGCUAAACCAGAGGCGGAGACGCGUAAGCCAGGUUGGAAUCCAUCAGAUUAGCCCAGGGAGCAAAAGACGGGAAGCCAAACCGGGAGCGGAGACGUAAGCUAUAGGUUGCAUUUCACCAGGUUAGCCCGGGGAACUUAGACUGAAUACCAGUGGCGGAAACGUGAGCUAGGCUGUGUGACUCGCGGAAGCCGCCGCGCGCAGAGAGAGCGCGCGGGACACGAACGGGGAGAGUGCACGGGGCGCGAAUAGAUAGGGAACGUGGGGCUAGUGCGAAGGCCGUGGUGCGGGCGCAAAGGGCGCGGAGACCGCGGAGUGUGCGAAGCCAGGAAGCCACGCAGAGCCGGGAAGCCGCUGCGGGGCAAGGCGCCGAGAAGCAGCCUCGGGGCGGGCGCCAGGAAGCUGCGGGGAUAAGAGAAACAGAAGUUUAGAGGUAAAAUGAGAGAAAUAGGAAUGCUGGCAGAUAGAAGUAAAAUAGGAGAGAUAGGAAUGCCCGGAGGUAGAGAAAUAGAGAAAAAUAAGGCCUCCCCACAACACAGCAAUGAGAGGGCUUGGAUUCAGUCUGCCUGAUUAGUAAGAUGAUAAGCACCUGUGGGCGGCUGCAGGUCACCGAAGACAGGCACGUUAUCAACACCAAUAAGUCUCCCCACAAGAUGGCAAUGAGAAGGCUUGGAUUCGGUUUGCCUGAUUGGUAGGGCUUGUAAGCACCUGCAGGCAGUUCUAGCAGAGUAUAGCAUGUGCUGCAGGGCACCGAACACAGGCACGCAUCAGCACCUAAAAACCUCCUCACAACAUGGUGAAGAGAGGACCCGGAUUUGGUUUGCCUGAUUGGUAGGGCUUGUAAGCACCUGUGGGCAACUCUAGCAAGCAGAGCAGAGUGUGCGCCGCGGGGCACCAAAGACAGGCGUGUAUCAAUGCCAAAAAUAAAAAGAAAGGGGGAUCUGUGGGGAGCAACUGGGAGCAACUCGGACUAGACUAAGUUACUGGAAUUAAGACUUAUUCUAUGCAUCUGCUCUCCCACAAUAUGGCUCUGAGAAGGGAGUAACAACUUCUACGCAGCUGCCUCUCGCUAACUUGAGUGAUGACCUGCAGGAGCUGAUCCUGCUCCUGAUUGGAGGAGAGCAGCGUACUCGGCGUGUGGGUAGCAGAGUUGGGAUUGGUGGAAGAGGACUAUAAAGGAGGAGAGAGACAACAUGCACCAGGAACAUCUAAAGGGAACACCUGAGCAGCCCCCGAGAGAGCUGGACUGGAAGAGGAGCAUCCGUGACAGAAUCCGGCGCCCCGACUAGGGCUAGAACCCAGGGUGCUGGCGCCGCAGGUGGAGGAUUAGCCUAGUGAGCCGUGGUGCUGGCCUGUGCCAGAUUCUGAUGAAGCACAAAGCUCUCUCACCAGAUGCAGCUUCUUGAUCUUGGACUUCUGUUCUCCAGAACUGUGAGUUUAACUUUCCUUUGUAAAUUACUCAAUCUGUGGCUUUCUGUUAAAACAAGAAGCAACUAAGACAUAUGGGUUGCUCGGUCAAAGGCUGACUAGAACUCAGGAUCUGUCUUAACUCCCAGUUGGAGGGGCAGGGUCCAAACCGCAGCUUCUCAUGUUACUUGGGGCUUCCUGUCCCUGGUGAGGUACGGUGGCAGUGGCUCCAGAGUCUCAUGUGUUGAGGGACUGGCAUUCUAAAUAAUUCCUGUGACUAGCUGGCACCACCAAAACAGACUUUUGGGCAUGCUGAUAAGGCUUUUCUUUCAUACUUGUUUUGUGAGAAGGAAGGCAUUCAGCAUGCCUCUCACUGCACUGUGGGAAUGACUAGGAGGUCUCGUGAAGCUGACUCUGGCCUUGAAAAUUUCAUUUUCCAAUUAACAGUAUUACUUACACAUACCAUGUAAUGUGAAUUGAAAAAGUGUUUGUUUAUUUUUCACUUGCGUAAAAGGGAGAGAGAGAGAGAUUGAUUGAUUCUCUCCACUGGUUUACUUCCCAAAUAUUCACAACAACCAAGGCUGGGCCAAGCUUAAGCCAGGAGCCCGGAAGCACAUGUGCCUCUUCCACAUAGGUGGAAGGGACUCAAAUGCUUGAGCCAUCAUAUGCUACCUCCCAGGAUGCAUUAGCAAUUAGUUGGAUAGGAACCAGAGGAGAUGGGAUUUAAAGCAGCUACUGGGGCAGUUGUCAUAGGCAGAUGUUAACCUGUUGAGAAACAGUGUCUGGCUCAUUGUGUGAAAUUUCACUCCUAGAUAGAGACCACAAACAGAACAUUGUGCACACACAGACACACAAACACAUACACAUAAGAUUAACAAAAUGAUAUACUCAGUGUUGAUGAGGGGCAGGUGAUGGACACUCUCAUCUUGUCAGACUAAAACUAAUAACAACCUUUUGCAGAAGUAAUUUAUGAUGUGUUUAAAGGGUUUUCAGUGCAUCAUUUUUUUUAAGAAAUGGGAAUAUACUUAUUAAUAAAUGUCACAAUACCAGGGAAAUUCAACAAGAGUACUUAGAACAGAAAACAUUUUGGCUGCAACAUUAGGGUAAAGGAAAUGCAUACUAUCCAUUUUUUUCUUGCACUGGAGACUCUAGAACUUAAAUACCUACAUAGUUAUUGGCAACUUAGGUGCAAAAUCCAGGGAACAACAGAAAAUCUGUCAGUCCCCAAUAGUGAUGUUAAUGGAAAUCUUUAAAUAUACUUCUUCCUUGGAGGACUGAAACUGCAGUCUAAAUCUGUAACAUGGUUCUGAACAAUGAGGCCAUCUGGUGGCCACUUAGAAAGUUUCCAAUUUCUGACUCCUGGGAUUGCAUUUCUAGUGCUUUGCCCCUCAGGCCUUGAAAAGGAAGCUGCAGCACAGUUGUGAGGACUUUGGUAUUUCCUGAAAGAAACCUUCUGGAAGGAGUCCAAGAUUCAGCUGCCUACUCCACAUUCCAUUUUAUGUGGGCUGGUCAGUGUCGCAGAGGGAUUGCAUGCUAUGUGCUUUAUCUAUGUGUCUAUGUCUAGCUUGUUACCUGCUCAGAGUUGGGCUCAUAUGUGAAUUACCUCAUUCUAGUGGAAAGUCUUAAAACAGAUUCUGCUGGAAACAUUUAACCUGGGGUGCUGUGGCCAGAAGCACGACCAGGCUGGAAGGAUAGUACAUAGAUAGAUAAAUAUAUUUUUGGACAUUUAUAGUGUCAGCUUUUAUUUAUUUAUUUAUAGGUUAUUUAUAAAUAAUAUGAUCAGUUUCCAGAACACAUAUGAGGGUGUGUCAAAAAGUUAAUUGAAAAUGAAAUUAGGGGCUGGUGCUGUGGCUCACUUGGUUAAUCCUCUGCCUGCAGUGCUGGCAUCCCAUAUGGGCGCCGGUUCUAGUCCCAAUUGCUCCUCUUCCAGUCCAGCUCUCUGCUGUGGCCUGGGAGGGCAGUGGAGGAUGGCCCAAGUGCAUAGGCCCCUGAACCCACAUGGGAGACAAGGAGGAAGCACCUGGCUCCUGGCUUUGGAACGGUGUAGUUCUGGCCAUAGCGGCCAUUUGGGGGGUAAACCAAUGGAAGGAAGACCUUUCUCUGUCUCUCUCUCUCACUGUCUAACUCUGUCAAAUAAAAAAAAAAAGAAAAUGAAAUUAAAAGAUGAAUUUAUGUUUGUGCAAAAAACUUGAAAUACAUGUCUAUGAGGGAGUCUUCAAAAUGUUUAUGGUGGAAAAAUGAGUAUUUUGAAAAAAUUAUGCAUACCUUUCAGUUUUUUGUGCCAAAAUAAAUAAAUUUUUUGAAGUAUCUUUGUAUUAACUCUUGUGGGAUGAAAGAUUAUUAAGAUUAUUAAGAUGUGGGGAAGACCAGUUAAGUCAUGUUUUGUAAGAAUUUUUCCUUGGAUGAAGCUCUGGACAAAGAUGAGAGUACUUGACUUCUGACAUGAGUUAUGAUAAAUUUAUCUUUGGUUAGCACAGAUUUUCAAAUACUUGGAAUAUCUUUUUGAUGAUUUUAUUUCUCCAUGUUGCAAAAUUACAACUCCUUCUUGACUCUUUCUUUACAUUGUGAAUUAACUUUAUAAAUGUAAUCUCUUUUCAAUCACUCCUAAGUGUAUGAAAGAUAAUUUUUCUUUUCAAUUCUCAGCUUCUCUUACUUUUCUGUUUAUUUCCUCCUUUGAAUUAAAAAAUGUAAAAUUUCCUUAUAGAUUAGAGAAAGAAAAUCCACAAAGCAUGUUUUGAGCAAAGUGCUUUUCUCCAUUUUUCAGUCACUUAAACUUUCUUGGACUAUCAUUUUUGGGAAAUACUGCUUGAGUAACUAUGUGAAUUAUGAAACAAAUGCAGACCUGUUCUUUGGCAACUUUGAGCUUGUGCAGGGAGAUAGAUCAAAGCAGCCGGAAGAAAAACAAAGACCAAAGAGAACUGGAACACAUCGAGAAUCUGUCUGAGAAAUCUCACACAAACUUUAGAAGGUUGAACUGUAAUACCCACAGCUGACGCUUAUCUAGUUAUUUCGUUUCUAAAGCCCUUUUAUACUGUUUGCUUAAGACCACCCUAACAGAAGGACAGAGCAGGCAUUGUUGUUUUAUUUUUACAAAGGAUUGCUAAGGAGAGACUGCUCUGCUUGAGACAAUGUACCCUGUGAGUGCGAGAACUGGUUUUUGAAUCUGGCUCUCUGGGCCCCCUGCUUUGCUCACCCUGGAAAGUUUUCGUGUCCACAUCCCUUCAGCCGGUUCAGACUCCAGGCUGUUGAUUUGCAUUCCUGGUCUUCUUCCAGCCCCACACACUCCAUCUGCAUACUACAAAUGCUUUCUUCGUGGAAGAAUUCCAGGCAGGGAAAUAUUUUGGUACUAGUCUGAGUUAAAUACCAAAACCCUGUUUGUAAUUUCUGCUCAGACUGUGACACUGAGAGAAUUCCAGAGUGACAAGUGUGAGUCUAUUUGGUGACUCGUGGUGGGGGCAAGGAGUAAAGGGAUAAAGAGGAGACAAGGGAAGUUAGAAUUAUCUACAUCCAAUAGAGCCCAGCUGUCUGGAUUUAAGCUGAGCUGAUACUCAGGAGGGAGAACUGAACUGAGAACUGUGGGUCAGAUUUCAGUGGUUCCACCUCAAAUGGGAUUUUCUCAUUGGUCUGGCAAAGGCUGUGCUGGAUUCAAAGUGAAAUUAAACUGUGCUUUAUUUAACAUAGAAUUAUUCAUAGGUGUUUAAAUCCAGUUCAAAAUUGAUCCCAGUAAAAAAUAAGAGUGAGAAUAAGAGGGAGGAGAUACACAGUUUGGCACAUUCCCACGGACUUACCCAUAAGGGUAAAGCCAUGGGACUCCAAAUCCCAUUAAGCUGGGUGGUAAUAAUGCCAUCUUACUAGUUAAAGUGAUCAGUUUAAGUGUGUAACUGAUCAUAUAAAUAGGAAUAAGUGUCAAAGGGAUCACAUAAAUAUUACCAAGUGUCCACUAAUAACAAUAGGUAGAAUUAAAAAGGAGAGAAUGAUCUAACAUGGGAAGCAGGCCACACAGCAGACUCAUAGAAUGACAAAUGCCCUAAAUAGCCCUCUGACCUCAGAAUCAGCCCUUAAGGCAUUUGGAUCUGGCUAAAAAGCUCAUGAGAGCAUUUCAGGCAUGGAAAGCCAAAACACUGUGGCAAAAAUGACCUACAUGAAGGAUCUCUGUGAGUGAGAUCCCAGUGGAAAGAAGGGGCCAUUGAAGAAGGUUUUCUCUGAAGGGAGGAGAGAACUUCCACUUUGCUUAUGGCCCUGCCUAAAUACUGACAGAGUUUGUGUAUCAAAAGGCUUCCAUAGUCUUGGUAGCUCAUGUCAAGAGCAUCGGGUGGUCACUGUUAAUUGUUAACUCAACAACAGGAGUCACUGUGCACUUACUCCCCAUGUAGGAUCUCUGUCCUUAAUGAGUUGUACUAUGAGAAUUAACGGUAAAACUUGUUUUCAAACAGUAUUUUAUAUUUUGUCUGUAUAGGUGCAGACUGUUGAAAUCUUUACUUAGUAUAGAGUUGGUCUUCUUUAUAUAAAGAUAAUUAAAAAUGAAUCUUGGGGCCAGUGCCGUGGCUCACUUGGUUAAUCCUCCGCUUGUGGCACCAGCAUCCCAUAUGGUCUCUGAGUUCUAGUUCUGAUUGCUCCUCUUCCAGUCCAGCUCUCUGCUGUGGCCUGGGAAGGCAGUGGAGAAUGGCCCAAGUGCUUGGGCCCCUGAACCCACAUGGGAGACCAGGAGGAAGCACCUGGCUUCUGGCUUCAGAUCGGCGUAGCUCUGGCCGUAGCGGCCAUUUGGGAGUGAACCAACGGAAGGAAGACUGUUAGGAAACUGGCGUAGUUUUGUCUAUGGCUCAAUCUACACCCUGAUUUACAUCCUAUGCCCCGGUUCCCGCCACCAUUGCUGAAAUCCAGGUAGCCACAUGGCCCAAGUACCUGUGCCAAGCUCCACCCCCAUCCUAAUGGGAUUUGCUGCUCCUGCUUCCCUGCCCGCCCUCCGGCAAAGUUUUAAAAGGACCUGUUCCUGAACAGGUGGCUCUCUUGGCUCCUCUCUUCUGCUCUCCUCUCCUCCUCUCGUCUCUCUUCUCUCUGUUCUCUCUUCUCUCCUCACUAGCUCCUCUCCUCUGUCUCUCUCUCUUAUACUCUUUCUCUCUCUUAUCCUUCUUCGUCCCUCCCCUCCAGUAUGCUGGGUUUUCCCCAAUAAACUCUUUCCCUUACUCUGGUGUUUGGUGUGCUUUGUGACGGGCUAACAAAGACCUUUCUCUCUGUCACUCUCAUUGUCUGUAACUCUACCUGUCAAACACAUAAAUAAAAAUCUUUAAAAAAUGAAUCUUAAUAAAGAAUGGG